rnacentral:rRNA from 1 species
GAUGAACGCUGGCGGCGUGCCUAAUACAUGCAAGUCGAGCGAACAGACGAGGAGCUUGCUCCUCUGACGUUAGCGGCGGACGGGUGAGUAACACGUGGAUAACCUACCUAUAAGACUGGGAUAACUUCGGGAAACCGGAGCUAAUACCGUAUAACAUGUUGAACCGCAUGGUUCAACAGUGAAAGACGGUCUUGCUGUCACUUAUAGAUGGAUCCGCGCCGCAUUAGCUAGUUGGUAAGGUAACGGCUUACCAAGGCAACGAUGCGUAGCCGACCUGAGAGGGUGAUCGGCCACACUGGAACUGAGACACGGUCAAGACUCCUACGGGAGGCAGCAGUAGGGAAUCUGCCGCAAUGGGCGAAAGCCUGACGGAGCAACGCCGCGUGAGUGAUGAAGGUCUUCGGAUCGUAAAACUCUGUUAUUAGGGAAGAACAAAUGUGUAAGUAACUAUGCACGUCUUGACGGUACCUAAUCAGAAAGCCACGGCUAACUACGUG